rnacentral:rRNA from 1 species
UACGAAGGGGGCUAGCGUUGUUCGGAUUUACUGGGCGUAAAGCGCACGUAGGCGGAUCGUUAAGUCGGGGGUGAAAUCCUGGAGCUCAACUCCAGAACUGCCUUCGAUACUGGCGAUCUUGAGUCCGGAAGAGGUGAGUGGAACUCCUAGUGUAGAGGUGGAAUUCGUAGAUAUUAGGAAGAACACCAGUGGCGAAGGCGGCUCACUGGUCCGGAACUGACGCUGAGGUGCGAAAGCGUGGGGAGCAAACAGG